AGUGCUUAUGUGUAUUAUGGGGUUAAAAUGGUAACAUCUUGCAGAUAUGGACUGGGACUAACUUGUCAUAGGCACGAUAGAAAGUAAAUGAAUUGAGUGUUAUUUGUUGACAUACCGAGGGAUGUUUCUGGUAGAUAUUCGGACGUGCAUUUUGUAAACGGAGGCUCUUUUUGAAGUCAAGGCUUCAGUCCGUUUCCGUGGUGUACAUGUCUGGUGUGUGGCUGAUUUUUGUUUCUGUUGGUUUCUGUGACUGUGUUGGCCGGGACUAUAUUGUGCGUAAAUUCUGUUCUUUACAAAACAGGGUCUUCCCUGGUUCACCAUCUGUUGUAAUUUCUGUUUAAUGUCGUGGUCAGUGGUUGUCGGGAACCUAGACCAUUACAUAAUCUGCUUUGUGUCGCUCUCUUGGGUCCCGAACCAAGAGAACAACACAAGCCAGAAAGGACGACAGGUGGUUGAAGAACCUAUUUUUUAUUAGUAGUUAAUUCUUGUAGAAAUACUCGACUUCUCGGCGUAGACAUUAUGGUGUACAAAUGUUUGCAUGGACUAGCACCUAGCUAUCUAAUCAAUACUUUUAACUAUAACAAUCAAAUACACAGUUAUAACACCAGACAGGCUCAACAGUUACACAGACCAAAGUACACAUCUCGAACAGGCCAACGAACGUUUGCUUUCAGAGCGGUUUCUAUCUACAAUUCCCUUAAUCCAACAACAACUUCACAAACCACUCUGAAUUCAUUCAAGCGACCUUUACAAUCUGACCUCUGACCCCUCUGACCAACGACCUCGAAUCUGGUUUGAAAAUUAGCUUGGUUUCGUUUAUUUAUGUACUGUUAUGUUCUAUUCAUAUGAUUAUUGUUGUGAUGAGUUUUGUAAUUAACGACUUUGAGUUGUUAUUAUUUGGGCUAAUCGCAUUUAAGUUAUUAUCCAUAUUUUGAUUUAGUCACGUUUUAUGUUAUAUGAUUAUCGUUAUCUUUAUGUUUAUGGCCAUUAUGUUCAUUUGGGCUCCCUUGGAAAUCAGUUUUAUCAAAACUGUAGGGACUACCCUGAAAGAUUAAUAAAUAAAUAAAUAAAGACACAGUCACAGAAACCGAAUCAGCCAUUCAUCGGGCUUGUACACCGCAGAAACAGACUGAAGCAGCCAUAGUUCUCGAAAUUCAAACGGAAACAAACGACAACAUACCUUGGGAUUUCAUCAAAGCACACUCAAUCGGUACCACAUAUCAAUUCUUUCCACUAUUUGCAUGUUAAAACUAGAACGGAAAUUUUAAUCACAAACCAAGUAAACUUUAUGUACUUUAACUAACUUAAGUGUAAGGUAUAUUUACUGUAUUUCUGGGCCAAAAUAAUUCAUUUUCGUUUUGUCUUUUCUACCGAGGAUCAUCGCACCGUAAGAAGAAACGUCCGGACGUCGAAAGGGAGGCGAGGACUGGCGAAGGAACGUACCGGACGUGAUCGAAUGAGGAUUUGCAGUCUGACUGUCUUACAACACAUAUGGCAAGAAAUGCCUGCACGCCGAAAGAGAGGAAAAGAGCUGGGGAAUUGAGCUGUCAAUCGCCUGUCACUGAAAGUGCUUCUGGACAACACCCAGUGCAUCACCGAGCCAAGGAGGCAUUCAGUCCUUCAGAGACAUAUGACAAGGACAACAGCUUAGCUGUGAGGCUGCUGAUGCGUGCAGACCUCCUGGCCCUGCUUCAAGUUGAACCUGUUCGCUAGUAUUGGAGGAAGGCAGCAGACCAGAAGACUGUUGACCGGGUUUACACUACUGUACAACAAGUUUGGAAUGAGACAGCAGCUUCCAGUAUCUUAAUGGUGCCAUCAAGCCCGGAACAACUGCAGCUGCAAGGCUCAUGUUUGGACGUAUCCUGGUGACAGGCUGCUUGAUGCCAUCUCCACGGUGACGUCCAGAAAGAUGCACUCAUGACUUCAGCCCGCUUUUGUGUUGUACAGGCCCGAUGUGUGACUGAUUUGGUUUCCGUGGCUGUGUCGAUGGCCCUGAUCGUACUCAACCAGUUACUGUAAAUUCUGUUCUUUAUAAAACAGGAACUUUCCUGGUUAAUCAUUAACUGUUGUCAUUUCUGUUUUAUGUCGUGGUCAGUGGUUGUCGGGAACCUGGACCAUUACAUAAUCUGCUUUGUGUCGCUAUCUUGGGUCCCGAACCAAGAGAACGACACGGGCCAGAAAGAAAGACAGGUGCUUAAAAAUCCUAUUUGAUCUUUUGUCCUUCAGAAACACUCGACUUCUCGGUAUCGACACAAUCACAGAAACUGAAUCAAUCUAAACAGAAUGCAAAGUGUGCCAUCUUACAGCCAUAAUCUAUAUCAUGAUGCUAGAUACAUGUAGUUAAGCUAGAUCGAGUAAAGUUUCGAGUCAGAUUUCAUUUUGGUCUCGUCUUGUGUUUUGGAGGUGCAGUGCUGUCCAUUCGCCUUUUGUAAGCAGCCUUUGUAUUAAUGAUAUCAUAUCAUACCAUUCCAGUACAGGGGUGGCUAAACUGAAAUGAUUUUGGUUUGUUUUGUUCGCACAUAGUCUUUGCUUAGUGCAUUUCACGUGUAUUUUUGUACACAAGUGGUCUACAUGUUAGUUAAGUAGAUGUCAACAUUGUACGUUUAUUGUGUAGAGGUUGUUUGUAGCCUUUUAAAUCAGUCCUUUGGAAAUUUCCGAACCUAAGGCUUAGGCUGACGCUUACACUAACACAAACACGAACACACACACUAACAGACUAACCGCACCAUACACACACACAGACUAAUACAACAUAUUUUUGCAACAUUAACAAUCAGCUCAAAGCCUUAACCUUAAGACCGCAAAAAAGAUUUCCAUGAUUCUUUACGUACAAAGGCUCCAAUCUACCACUAUACCAUGUACUGGCAAUGUCGACAUUUACUGAUUCUAGGCUCUGAUGCCUACUGUGUCCUAGAGUAGGGAUAAUUGUUUACCCAAAUGGGUAGAUGUUAAGUUUUAGUUAGAUGUAUUUAGCUUAAAUAGUGCUAGAGCAAUUUUUGUACUGUGUGGCUUUGUACAUUGUACAUAUGUGUACACUUUGCAUUCAUAUAUUGCUUUUAAAUAAACAGUUUGAAAUCA